AAUGUCACCAAGGGUGCAAUGACGAAGAUCAUUAUUGAGUAUCACCAAACUUAAAGAAAGAUCACAUUUAUUAUCAUGCCUGGAAAAGGUAAGCUUUCUCAAUAGAUUUAUGCAUUCUAGAAUAGAUUUCUCAAUAGAUUUAUGCAUUCUCAAUAGAUUUAUGCAUCUUAUGCGUUUUAUGAUAAUCAUAUUUUAUGUCAUGGAUGAAGACAUUACGAGGUUGCGCCCCCCAGUUUCUCCUCAGUUUUGACAGAAUUACAAAAUUGGUGCUGACGAAAAGUGGGGGGGGGGGCAGCGGACCCCACCAUUCCACCCGUGGGUACGACUCUUCGUUGUGGAAACAGAAACGGCAGGCAAAACAGUAUUUUGUAAAUAGAUUUAAUCUGGAUGAGCAAAAACAAACACAGUGAAUAGGCCCAAUGAAAUGAUCAAUCAUUGCAGCAAUGGGAGUAAACCGUGAACUACUAGAAUUGACGUCCAAUAUUCAUAGGAAGGUCGCCGAACCCCAUUUUCCGCAGCUAAUUCCAGUUUCUUCUAACGGACCGUAUCGCUAAACAGGUUAUCAGUUCAUGAAACCAUAGUGUUAUUCUUUAAAAGGAUGUCAAAAUACGAAAUUUCGACACACGUCUUGCUAGCCUGUGUCCCAGUCCACUGACUGCAACACAGGCUAACGUCUUGCCAGCUUCGUGCCAACCGCGCAGACAAAAUCAAUAGAAAGGGACUGGGUUGACGUCCAAUAGAUCUUCAAUUUCGCCAUCUUUGACCUUCGAUCACUUGUUGGACUCAAGUUCACGCUCCAGGUAUACAUCGAGCUCACUGUGAUAUCACAUUCUUUUGUAGGAAGUUCAUGAAGAAGGCAAGCUGCCAAAUGUGUUGGAAUCGCUAAAAAAAUCCUUCAAACGCCGAUCAAGCCAUUUGUUCCCGCGGAUAACUCGGAUUUGGUCGAAGGACACGCGUCUUCCCCCAGCCCGCAUCCUGAUCACCUGCCCAUAAACUACCAUCUAAAAACCAGUCCACAAAUGCAGUGAGAUGAAGGAGUGAUUUUUGUUAGAAAUUUCUUUGCUUUUUCCUAACCAGCAUUCAUAAAAAUUCUGACAUUUUAGCGUUUCGUAACGACGCAAUUCUUUUCAAAACGAGAAUUUCAUCCAUUCUUACAUUGCAGUAAGCAAGCUUGGCCGACUACCAACUGUUCGAGCAACAAACUAGAUAAGAAAUGACCGACUUAAAUUUUGUCUAAACUUAUCGUACAUUUGUAAAAUUAUACUUGAGCCAUCCACUUUCUCAACGACAGACGUUUGAAUAAUUUUGAAAACACUGCUUUGCUGGAAACGCCAAGUUCUUGUUGUCUUUUUAAGUCAGAGUUAUCUGCAAUCGUCAAAUGAUUUGUUGUGAUUCUAUCCAAUAUAGAGCAUUUGCACAUGAUGUCACAGCCGCCAUGCUGGUGUUCCAAUUCAAAAGAAUUUUAAUUAGACUCUUGUCUGGAACACCAAGAUGGCCGCCAUGGCUUUUGUUGAGUUGGUCCCUGGGGAAUGAGUGCAAACGCUCUCUCUAUUCAGCCAUUUGUUCAGCUGAUAAACUAAGAUAAUUAUUUGGCUUCUUUUCAACUAAAAGUAGUUUGGCUAACCUUUUUGGUAGAUCCUGGCUGGUCUAUCAAGCCAGUUUUUUCAAAAACAUACAAUCAACAAUUUUCUGUGAGAUACGAUCAUGCAUUUGAAAGCAACUGGAUUGCUUUGGACUAUACCAUCGUAUAAUAUAUUUUCUAGUCAGGCUAGUGGUUGAUACACUGACCUCUAUAUAUUAUUAUGGAUAUUAUUAAAAAAACUCAUGUUAAAAAUAUUCUUCCUUGCGACUGUAGAUUCGGUUGAGUGAAAAGGGCGAUCGCUCCAGCUAGCUGAUCGUCUAUAUAGGUAAUGUUUUAACCUUGUUAGCUUGGAAAGCCACGAGAAAAAAGGUCUAAAUGUAUAUUAUCGCAUUACACGUUGAAUUGAUAUCUAGACAUCUAGUAUGUGAAAAAUAUGACAGGUCAUUAAUUAUUGCAAAUUCCAUUGUACGAACAAUCAUAGUUUAUCUUGAUAUAUACACAAGUUAUUUAACAUUAAUGUG